CUCUCAAUUUGUUUGGUGGCGAUAGCGAAGAGGUCACACCCGUUCCCAUACCGAACACGGAAGUUAAGCUCUUCAGCGCCGAUGGUAGUCGGGGGUUUCCCCCUGUGAGAGUAGGACGCCGCCAAGC
rnacentral:rRNA from 1 species